rnacentral:piRNA from 1 species
UUUCCAAGCCUGUGCAAAUGUUAGUUA